rnacentral:tRNA from 1 species
UUGGCAGAAACCAAAUUAGAGGUAUAUUACUGUUAAUAAUAUUAUUGAAGUCAUCUCCUGCCAAA